CUCUCGGUAGCCAAGUUGGUUUACGGCGCAAGACUGUAAUGUGGUACUUCGGUACGAUUAAGUAAUCUUGAGAUCGGGCGUUCGAAUCGCCCCCGGGAGA
rnacentral:tRNA from 1 species